UUAGAUUUACACAUAUCUCAAAUUCAAGCAUUUGUAAGUUAGCAGUUAACUAAAUAAAAUAGAGAAGUGAAUAAGUCAAUCUUCCACGAGAGGUUUUGACAUAUAUCAUGUUAUAAUUACAAGCAUAAAGGUUUUCAACCUAGACUAGAGGUUUUGAUCCCCAUGGAAUUGGCGGUCCCAAUAAGGGUCGCUCUGCUUGAUCUUCGCGAUCUCGUACACGUGUUUCACCGUUAUCGUCGACACGCUCACGUGCUCCCGGUGUCGAUCCCCGCCGCCUUCUUCAGGUACCACGUCACCGACGGAGACUUCACCGCGAACUCGAACGUGAUCGUCACCGCCAUUGGGGUUUCGGCCUUGUAUUUCUGGGUUCGGGCGUUGAAAUCCUUGCAUCAGAUUCAGCCGGUACUGACCCAGAGCGGGCCCCACCGGAUCGUCGCCGCCACUGGACGUCGGGUUAGGAUUUCUUUGAGCGUCGCCAUGUUUAGGCGUUGGAGUGAGUGACGGCUAUUUUGUAACCUUUAGCUUGGCCCAUUAAGGGUUUAGGCCCAAGAGCCACAUCUUUUGGACCCAUUAAGGGUUUAGGCCCAAGAGCCACAUCUUUUGGACCCAUCGUUAUUAUCAUUACAGCGGCACAAGAAGCAUAACCUUACAGCA
rnacentral:lncRNA from 1 species